AUCCAGCUUGGAGUGGCAAAUAGGACGAAACGCACGUCCUGGAU
rnacentral:hammerhead_ribozyme from 1 species